rnacentral:rRNA from 1 species
AGGCAGCAGUGGGGAAUCUUCCGCAAUGGGCGAAAGCCUGACGGAGCGACACCGCGUGGGGGACGAAGGUCUUCGGAUCGUAAACCCCUUUAAGGAGGGAAGAGCAAGGACGGUACCUCCUCAAAAAGCCACGGCUAACUGCGUGCCAGCAGCCGCGGUAAUACGUGGGUGGCGAGCGUUAUCCGGAUUUACUGGGCGUAAAGGGCCUGCAGGUGGUUCCUAAAGUCCCCGGUAAAAUCUUAAGGCCUAACCUUAAGAAGACUGGGGAUACUCAGGAGCUAGAGGAAAGGAGAGGGAAGUGGAAUUCCUGGUGGAGCGGUGAAAUGCGUAGAUAUCAGGAGGAACACCCAAGGCGAAGGCAGCUUCCUGGCCUUUUCCUGACACUCAGAGGCGAAAGCUGGGGGAGCAAACGGGAUUAGAUACCCCGGUAGUCCA